GCUCCCAUGGCGUAGUGGUCACUGCACUCGCCUUGCACGCGGGAGACCCGGGUUCGAUUCCCGGCGGGGUCG
rfam:Asian citrus Psyllid, Diaphorina citri - Florida Strain, whole genome shotgun sequence.